rnacentral:rRNA from 1 species
UACAGAGGGUGCAAGCGUUGCUCGGAAUUAUUGGGCGUAAAGGGUAGGUAGGUGGUCUGAUUUGUCGGAGGUGAAAGCCUGAAGCUUAACUUCAGAAGGGCCUCCGAAACGGUCAGACUUGGAGUCUUUGAGAGGGUCGUGGAAUUCCCGGUGUAGCGUGAAAUGCGUAGAGAUCGGGAGGAACACCUGAGGCGAAAGCGGCGACCUGGAGAAGUACUGACACUCGACUACGAAAGCGUGGGGAGCAAACAGGG